GAAAUGCGAUAAGUAAUGUGAAUUGCAGAAUUCCGUGAAUCAUCGAAUCUUUGAACGCACAUUGCGCCCCCUGACAUCGGGGGGACCUGCCCGAAAGGCAGUGGCGGCGCCCGCCUUCGGUCCUCGAGCGUAUGGGGCUAUGUCACCCGCUCGGGAGGGGCCUGCGGGCGUUGGUCAUCCCCCCCUAUUUUUCCACGGUUGACCUCGGAUCAGGUAGGAGUUACCCGCUGAACUUAA
rnacentral:misc_RNA from 1 species